UACGUAGGGGGGCAAGCGUUGUCCGGAUUUAUUGGGCGUAAAGAGCGUGUAGGCGGCUUUGCAAGUCCGUUGUGAAAACUCGAGCUCAACCUCGAGACGCCGGUGGAAACUGCAAAGCUAGAGUCCGGAAGAGGAGAGUGGAAUUCCUGGUGUAGCGGUGAAAUGCGCAGAUAUCAGGAGGAACACCCAUGGCGAAGGCAGCAAACUGGGCAUCAACUGACGCUGAGGCGCGAAAGCGUGGGUAGCAAACAGG
rnacentral:rRNA from 1 species